UGGGGAAUAUUGCACAAUGGAGGGAACUCUGAUGCAGCGACGCCGCGUGAACGAAGAAGGCUUUCGAUUCGUAAAGUUCUUUUAUAUGGGAAGAUAAUGACGGUACCAUAAGAAAAAGCCCCGGCUAACUACGUGCAAGCAGCCGCGGAAAUACGUAGGGGGCUAGCGUUGUCCGGAAUCACUGGGCGUAAAGGGUUCGCAGGCGGAAAUGCAAGUCAGGUGUAAAAGGCAGUAGCUUAACUACUGUAAGCAUUUGAAACUGCAUAUCUUGAGAGGAGUAGAGGUAAGUGGAAUUUUUAGUGUAGCGGUGAGAUGCGUAGAUAUUAAAAAGAAUACCGGUGGCGAAGGCGGCUUACUGGGCUCAUUCUGACGCUGAGGAACGAGAGAGUGGGUAGCAAGCAGG
rnacentral:rRNA from 1 species